rnacentral:tRNA from 1 species
GCCGAAGUGGCGGAAUUGGUAGACGCGCUGGACUCAAAAUCCAGUUUGGGAUAACCAAGUGCCGGUUCGAGCCCGGCCUUCGGUA